UACGUAGGGGGCAAGCGUUGUCCGGAUUUAUUGGGCGUAAAGGGCGCGUAGGCGGCCGCCUAAGUCAGACGUGAAAUCCCUCGGCUCAACCGGGGAACUGCGUCUGAUACUGGGUGGCUUGAAUCCGGGAGAGGGAUGCGGAAUUCCAGGUGUAGCGGUGAAAUGCGUAGAUAUCUGGAGGAACACCGGUGGCGAAGGCGGCAUCCUGGACCGGCAUUGACGCUGAGGCGCGAAAGCCAGGGGAGCAAACGGG
rnacentral:rRNA from 1 species